CUAGCUGGUCUGAGAGGAUGACCAGCCACACUGGAACUGAGACACGGUCCAGACUCCUACGGGAGGCAGCAGUGGGGAAUAUUGCACAAUGGGCGCAAGCCUGAUGCAGCCAUGCCGCGUGUAUGAAGAAGGCCUUCGGGUUGUAAAGUACUUUCAGCGGGGAGGAAGGGAGUAAAGUUAAUACCUUUGCUCAUUGACGUUACCCGCAGAAGAAGCACCGGCUAACUCCGUGCCAGCAGCCGCGGUAAUACGGAGGGUGCAAGCGUUAAUCGGAAUUACUGGGCGUAAAGCGCACGCAGGCGGUUUGUUAAGUCAGAUGUGAAAUCCCCGGGCUCAACCUGGGAACUGCAUCUGAUACUGGCAAGCUUGAGUCUCGUAGAGGGGGGUAGAAUUCCAGGUGUAGCGGUGAAAUGCGUAGAGAUCUGGAGGAAUACCGGUGGCGAAGGCGGCCCCCUGGACGAAGACUGACGCUCAGGUGCGAAAGCGU
rnacentral:rRNA from 1 species